UGAGAUACUUGGUAGCCUACAAUAUUUACCUCUUAUGAUUGAGCAUUAAAGACUUGGGCUUGAGUAGACUACUUGCUGGUGGCAAGCUUCUCAUUUCUCCGAUGAGUCAACGAUGACUGGAAGUGAACUUCACAGAUUAUUGCACAGAAAUCUUGUUAAAGAACAAAAAAAAUUACGUUAUUAAACGGUUACCAUUAUUUUAAAUAAACGAUUUUGUUCCGGAAUAUAUCUUUUUUGAAAGUUUCUGGUUUCGUUUCUGUUCCUUGCAAACCAUCAAUAGUUUCUGGUUUUCGUUUUUGCUCCGUGAACCGGUUCAAAGCCUUGGUUAAAACUAAAAUUAAGUUGAUCUAAUUUGUUUUUUUCAACAUUGUUUUAAUGCAGCAGACAACCAGCAUUAUUUUAAUAAUUCAUAAAAAAUGUCUGGUGAUCUCAGAUUUCAUUAUGGAGAUAAAAAAAUUACGAUUGGGUGAUUUUACGAGUGAUACGAGAGUUUAUAAGCGUGAUUUUUUUUGUCAUUUGAGAUAGUUUGGACCUGUUAGCGGUGCAUGACGUGAGACUAAGGGACUGGACACACCAAAACGUUUAAACGCGGCUGAAAACGCCUUGAGGAUGCUGAAUGCCAGCUGUUUUUCAGCUGAGUGCCAGCUUUCUUCAGCUGAGCGCUUUGGUAGCUGUGAUACUUCAGCUGCGAGCCGGUUGGUUGCUGUGGUAAUGUCCCGCUCCUCCUCCAAUGUGAUUGGGCGGCCGUGUGAGAACUGACAUUGACGAGCGGAGCUUUUCUCCCAAAGUUGAAUCUCUUUCGACUCUCGACGCUCAGCGACGAGCGCGGAAAAACCGCAGAGCGCUGGUUUUCAGCGCGGAAAAAACCCGCUAGCUGCUGGCUUAUUUGAAAAACGCCGAGCUUCCAUUGGAAACAAUUGAAAACAUGAGUCGGCCGCGGGCGUAACAGUUUUGGUGUACACAACCCCUUAACAAGCAGUUUAAGGCACUUUCGUGUUGGCUUCACGGGGGAGAUCAGAAGGUUGCCCCAUGUUGCUUUCCCGUUGUUUGCAUGUCUAAAACGAACAAACUAUCCAUAACCUUCAAAAGACGUGUUACACAUCGCUUAUCCACAGAAACAUUUUAGAGCAAUUUGUCACCAAAGCAAAAGAGCAAAGAAAAAGAAACCCAUGAUCAUAUUUUAACACCAGUCCUUUUCUCACUUCAUAUGCUUCUGUGAGGUCAGUUCUUGAGUAAAGAUGCAACUGGUCCAAAAUGUGGCUGCAAGACCUCUGACAGGUACUCGGAAAUAUGAUGAUAUUACUCCUGUACUAAGAGAAUUACAAUGGUUACCGGUUUCUUGUAGGAUUGAUUUUAAAGGGCCGGUCUGAAGGUAGUACCUAGCCAUAUCGGCCUAAUAAAGCCUAAUUAAACUUUUAAUUUUCCAUCGGUCUUAGUAUAUGAUGUAACUACAGAAGAGUCAAAUUUAAAAUAGGAAAAAUAUUGAAACUCUUUGGUCACUUUAGGUAUGAUGCUAAUGGUCUGAUCAGAUUCAAUGGAUUAUGCUAAGCUAUGCUAAAAGUGGUAGCGCCAGACCCAGAGUUUUUUUUAAAGUGGAGUGUCCCUUUAAGAUAUUAUUAUUUGCUUUUAAAGUGUUACAUUGUACAGCUCCAUCAUAUCUAAGAAACCAACAAGAAGGCCAUGCUGAGUCACAUUAUCCUUCAUUGGUCCCACCGACAUUUUCGGAAAAUGAGAGGAGACCGCUCCUUUGCGGCAGCUUCUCCGAGGUUAUGAAAUGGGCUACCACAUUACAUCCGGCAGUGCCCCACUCUUAGCUUUUGAACAUCUUUGGGGGCGGCACAGCAAGAAGGUACCCGGUUCGAGACCCAGCUCUUUGCAUUUUCUCCUUGUGUCAGCCUGGGUUUACUCCGGGUACUCCGGUUUCCUCCCACAUGCCAAAAACAUGCAAGUUAGGUAUAUUGGAGAUGCCAAAAUUGUCCCUCCUCCAACCUGUGUAUGGAUCAGCUUGUCUGAAUAAAACUUUAUGGAUUACCUGGUUUUCACCAUGAUAUAGCCGUAGAUACUGGAAUGGCGUAAAGAAAUAAAGGAAGAAGAAGAACAUCUUUAAGUGCAAGUUUAGGGACUAAAGGUUUUAACGUUUUGUUUCUGUGAUUUUGUUUGUAUAUUAUUCUGAUAAAAAGUGUUAAUUGUGAAUUUAUUAUUACUCUGUAUUUUAUUUGUACAGCACUGUGGUCAACAAUUGUUGUAUUAAUAUGUGCUCUAUAAAUAAAUUAAACAUUGAACAUAUUUAGUCCAAUAUAAGCCCUGUUUCGCUUUGCAUUUUGGCUUUGGGAGGUUUUGCUGUCGGUGGAGAAGUCAGAUGUGCCGUGUGUCCACCGGAGUAACAGGUAGGCUAUUGUUAAAAAAGAAAUAGCUUAUAUGAGAUGAUAACAAAGACCUUUAAUAUGACUUUAAAAAAAAUCAAACAGGAGGUCUGGCCAAAGUAAUUGGACAUUAAGGCAUUAAGCAGAUGCUUUCAUCGAAAUGUAAAAAAUGAGGAAGCAAAGCGUUUAAUUCCAGGAGAAAAAAAACAAAUAAAAAGUUUACUUUUUACCAAGCCCCAAAGGUGACAUUGGAGUAAAAACAUCUAAAGUUUAGUUUCAUGUGCUCACGCAAAACCUUCAUGUGCAGAAUUUUUUGAAAGUUUAGUUUGAUAGUUUGAUGUGUGCACACGAUAGUUUCACGUGAGCACGCGGAACUAAACUUUAUUUAAUUUUUGCACCAUGUCUCCUUAGCGGCUCUGAAACUUUUUACUUCAUAUGACACUUUUAUAUAUGGUCGUAUUUGUUAACAAAGCCAUCAUGAAUAAUGUUUACAAUUAACAUGAUUUAAAUCAAAACAAAGAAACAUUUUAUGAUAAACAAUUUUGCUCAUUGUUACUUCAUGUUAGCGAAAGCAUGUAGUACUACGUAUAUGUAAACAAAAACAACCUUAUUUUAAAGUGUUACCAAUUCAUGUAAAUGUGGAACAAAUAUCUGGCAUAUUUCUAAAGCACAACGGGACAACAUUAUUUUUUCAGAUGGGUCACUAAGCUUUACUUUCAGGUCUUAAAUAUUGUAAGAUUGCAUUUCAUUUUCAAAUGGAAACAGGAGUGCUAUAGUCAAGGGAACAACUGUUGUGUACAUGCUUCUUUAUCAUUGAUAGGACAUUUGUAAUUUCUAGUUGAACACUUUUAACCCAUGAUGAUUGUCUACUAAUCAACAUUUGAAGUGGGUCAAAAAAGUUCAUCAAAAGGGCAGGUAUUGUUCGAAAUGCACCUAUGCAAGUCUGCUAUUAAUCAGUGUUGUCAUCAUUGGAAUUUUCAUCACAUUACUCAUAACAUAACAUGCCCUGACAUGAUUGUUUAUCACGAAGUGUGAAGUGGCUUGGCACCAGAAAUCUGUGAUUCACCUGAAGUUACAAUGGACUAAAUUCCUCUUAAACAUUAGUGCCUGCAAUUAUUGUGAGCCUUUUAAGGGCAUCACAAUAAUUAUAAUGGUGAUGCAAUAGAUACUAUCCUACUGUAGUCAGAGGUUGAAGCACAGGAAACAACAAAACAAGAUGCUAUUGCACAUGUUACAGCAGAUAAAAUAUCUGAUGUCGUACUGUAAAACAAGCAUGAAUUGCAUGGUUUAACAAAUGGGGCAAACCAGUCAUAACAAAUAACGAAUGUUAUGCAUUGAGACAACACUGUAAAAAAAUGCAGCAUGAACAACAAAAGGUCAAUUAAACCUACAUUUUAAAAUGUUGACUUUUGACAAGUUGACAUAAUUUAGAAAGAAUUUGUGUCCCGUGACUGUUCUGUUAUAGCCAAGAUGAUUAUUCCUGAAUCACCCAUAAGUAGGUAAGCCAAGAUGGUCAUUCCUUAACUCCCUAGACUCUUUGCCCUUUGCCAAGAUGUCUGUUCCCAAACUCCAUAAACCUUGUGGGCUAGCCAAGAUGACUGCUCCUGAACUCUCUGUUCCAGCCAAAAUGGCUGAUACCAAGUUCCCAAGACUCCUUGUCCUGGACAAGAUGGCAACUCUUGAGCGCUUUAAACUCCCUGACCUUGCCAAGAGGGCAGUUCCCGAAUUCUACAUGUUCUCUAACCUGACCAAGAGAGUCUCUUUCUGUUCUCUGUCUGCUACCACCAUGGUCUCCAGUACCUAUGGGUUCCUGUCACCACAGAUCCACCCUGGUCUCUAAUUACUCCCGGGUUGCUUUUGCCACCAGCACCACACUGCUCUCCAGUUCCACCCGGGUUCCUGUCACCACCGGCACCUCCUUGUUCUCCAGUUUCUCCCAGGUUCCUUUUGUCACCAGCACCACCAGCACCACCCUGGUCUCCGGUUCCUCCUGGGUGCUUUUGCCAAGACAACAACCUGGUCUCAAGCUCUUCCCGGAUUCCAUUGCCACCGGCACCACCCUGGUCUCCAUUUCCUCCUGGGUUCCUGUUGCAACUGGCACCACCCUGGUCUUCAAGUUCCUUACGAGUUCCUGUAGCAAUUGGUACCAUCCUGGUCUUCAGUUCCUCCUGGGUUCCUUUUGCCACCAGCACCACCCUGGUCUCCAGUUCCUCACGGGUUCCCAUCGCCUCCAGCACCACCCUGAUCUCCAGUUCAUCUUAGGUUUUUGUCACCACCUGCACCACCCUGGUUUCCAGCUCCUCCCAGGGUGUUUUUGCCACUGGCACGACCCUGGUCUCCAGUUCCUCCCAGGUUCCCGUUGUCACCAGCCCCACCCUGGUUUAGAGCUCCGCUCUUGCUUCUGUCACCAUCUGUGCCCCCUGGUCUCUGACUUUCCCCUGGCUUUACUGCUCUGUCCUGGCCUCGAGGCCUUCUGCCAUUUGAUAGGCCUGGUCCACCAUUGCUCCCCAUGUUUCACCUCCACUCCAUUACCCACUUAGACAUUUAUUUAGGAGUGUCUGGAAAUCACUUCUGGGGGGUUAUAUUAUGAUAGGUUCUGUGAUUCUUUGUAAUGUUAGUUUAUAUUUUGUGUUCAUACUGUUUUUUUCGGUUAAGAGGUGAAUAUUAUUGUCUUAAAACAGAAAGAGAAUAGACCGGCUUGUGCUGCCUCUCUUUUGAAAACGAUCUAUUUUAUAUAGCAGGAACUAUCUUUACUUAAAACUAUCAAUUAUAACAGGAAAAGUCUCUUUUUUUCUCAGCGUAAGAAAAACAAGUUGCGGCUUGUUGGCAUGUGAAAUGUCUGAAAAGCUUGUUUAUGGUGUAUGUAUGAUACUAGAGAGCCUUGUUUUCAUUUGCUUUGGAGUACUGUAAAGGACAGAUUUCACAAUCUACUGUAAAAAAUACAAGAUAGGGACUGUCUGCAAAGUACAAAACAAAAACAAUAAUUAUAUUCAAAUGCAGUAGCGGCUCCUGACCAGUGUUUGAAUUAUGUCAAAGCUCAUGGGGGGGGUUCCCUAGCUAAGAAACCCCCGGCCACCCCCCCCCCCAGUUGUUAGGGUCACUGUUUUUCACAAAGUUAUAUUUUAUCCUGGAACAACAAUCAUCUGAUCCUGGUUUUAAUAAUAAAAAAUUACCCUUAACUUAACCCUUAACCAUUUUUACCCCUAAAAUUAGUGUGAAAUGGUGGUGAGGCCAGAAAUAUUAAACUGAUUGGACCUGGGUGAAAUAGGGUGGACCUCCAUGCAUGAAUCCCCAAUCACCCAUAAGUAGGUUAGCCAAGAUGGUCAUUCCUUAACUCCCUAGACUCUUUGCCCUUUGCCAAGAUGUCUGUUCCCAAAUAUCAUAAACCUUGUGGUCUGGCCAAGAUGACUGCUCAUGAACUCUCUGUCCCAGCCAAAAUGGCUGAUACCAAGUUCCCUAUUCUCCCUGUCCUGACCCUGGUCUCUAGUUACAACUUUUGCCACCGGCACCACCCUGGUCUUCAGAUCCUUCCGGGUUCCUGUUGCAACUGGCACCCCCCUGGUCCCCAGUUGCUUUAGGGUUCCAGCCCUAAAGAUUCCUAAAGGUUCUUACUGUCAAUUAGGUGAAAAUAAUCCACACGCAGAAACAUUGACUCGCAGGGACAUGCACAGGAAUUUUCAAACGAGUUCUCUAAUAAAAACUCUACACACUCACAAUCAGGUUCAUUUGUACCACUCACAAUGCCCACAGCUUGAAAAAUCAGACUAACGUUACCAUGCAGAUGCAGACUGAUGUGCAAUUUGCUAACACAGAAUUAUAUAGCAUUGUCCGGAACUACGUUCACAUAACGUAAAAGCUAGAGGGGCAGAUUCAGAUCUGCCCAUAUCGGUUUCUAUUAGGUAUUGCUGCAAUUCCUUUUUUCACCACAGAUUUACAUAAAAAAUAUGUGGGGCGCUAUUGAGCUCGGGAGGGCAGAGGCAGCCUCAGCCCCUCUCAGCUUGAUCAUUGCAUGAAGUAGUCAACCAAGCCUUGCGCUCAAUUUCCAAACAUAUUCAUCUCAGUUACAACUUAAAAUAUUUUAGAAACUCCCAAAAUGCUUGCAGAAAAAUAUUAGACACAUUUACAAGUAAACAGUUUAGAUUUGAUUAAGUUCAUGUAGAGUUCUAUAUUUAAUUGAACUAAUAUUUUGGAAUGGCACUGCCCCACUUUCCGAUACAAGCAAGCCACGUCUGUUCAAAUUUAUGUAAAAUAUAUCUCAAAUCUAACACAACAGUUUGCAUAAAUUGUUUUUUAAUUUGAGUUAAGAAACCUUCGGAAACUACGCUUGAAUAACAAACAAUAUUGAGUUGGAUGUACUUAGAAAAUGUGUAAGUUAUAAAACAACAAAUUCAUAAAAAAAAUAGGUUCAAACUUGUUCAAAACUCUUAAAAACAUUCUAACAUUCUUUAUUUAAUAACACGUGUCAGGUUGCAGCAGACAACCAGUCUUAGCAUUUUAACCAAAAUGCCUUCUAAUUGAAACAUCAUGUAAGAUAAUGCUCAGUAACUCAAAUCCAGUGUUAGGAAAGUUUCUACACUUUCUACAUGAACUAGUUCAGUUCACAGUUCACAAAUUUUAAAAUGAACUAAUUCAGUUCAUAGUUCAUAUUUCAAAAUUUGGAACUAGUUCACAGUUCCAAAAAUGAACAAAUUUAUAGUUCUUUUUCCCCAUAUACAACCACAGACAGCAAUUAUUUUAUCAGUUUUAACACUGAAGCUAAAUGCGUCAGAUUUCAUCUUCAUAUCCAACUUUAAAUCCUUAUCCAACCAGGGUUUACAUUUGCUUUGACUGUCUUUUAAGUUUUGUAUUUGAUUGCACAUACCUUGAAAGGCUAGCCGGGUGCUUCAAGGGGGUUUCCGGGCGAGAAGCGCUGCGAGGCAUCGCGUGUAGGACAACUCGCAUGUGCACGUUAAAUAGCGUGAGGUUAGUCAGAGUCUAUAUCCAGAAUAUGCGUUAGCAGCCUAUGUUAAUCCUUAACCGUUUAGGACAAAUAUGAUGUUAUUUAAUGUUAGUGAGCAGCGUCCAGUGCGUCACCUCCAUGCUGCUGACUUCAUAGAACAAGGUAGACAUCAGGCCGUUUUUAGGACAGUGAAAACAGUGCUAUACAGAUUUCUACACAGGAAACAUGAACAUAUGUUAUAUUGCGCAUUGUAAACACAAUUAUAGCUUCAAAAACUCAGGAAAAAUGGGACCUUUAAAAAGCUGGAUAUAGAAUGCACUGCAUGUUGCAUGCUUAUUUUGUUUAAAAGCAUAAUUAAUGCAAGUCAACAUGUCAUAAUAACAAAGAACUAUGCUUCUAACCACAACUCAACAGCAACAAGUUUGUGAUGCAAGUGUGAAUGUCUGCUGAUCGAUGGUUCCAGAAGACACCCGAAUCACUGAACUAUACUUAAUGACAGAACUCGCACCAUAGUUGGCUAACAAAGCUUUUGGAAAACGCGCCCCUUUAAGGCAAGCACUGUUACUGGUACAAGAUUGCACAUGUUACAUCCCAUCUCAGUCAAUUUCAGGAAGUUUGAACCCAAUAAAUACUCUACGCAGUGCUUUACUGAUACCUGAAAAUUAUCUCACCUGUGACACCUGAAAACUCACUGUAGGAAAAGCCAACUUCCAAAAUGCUUAUUAAUCUCCUGAAAAACUCACAUGGAGACAAUGUUUUUAAUAAUUGGGAGUUGACGCAGAACGGUGGAGAUAAAUGGCAAAUUGAACCGACGCCAUAUGAUGCAGUGGCUGCAUACUUCUGCACCUCUCAUGAGCCGUGUCUAAAAAAACAAGUGAUUGAUCUGGUGAAAAGCGGUUAUGAUGCUGCAUAUUUAGAUUCUGCGCCUGAAGUGAUUAUGAGGGACUGGUACAGCACUCGAGGUGACUGUGGAGGCGUUUAUAGGCUUACUGUGUCACUGCUCAAUGCAAAACGAGCUGUCAUUGCUACAUUUAAGCCGGAUGAUGUGACUGUGCCCCAGGGUACCAACUGGACAGAGGUGACACACACGUUUAAAGGUUAUGGUCCUGGUCUACGCUUCAUCUCUUUUGAACAUGGUGGUCAAGACAAUAAAAGUUGGAAAGGCUGGUAUGGAGUCAGAGUCACUGGAAGUUCUGUCACCAUACCCCCAAAACCCUAAUGUGUAGUUAAAUAAAGUUAAUGAUUGGUCAGCACUUUUCUUUUAACCAUACUAUAACUACAAAUAAUAUUAAAGUAACAUUACAGAAUCUACACGGCUAAACUUUGCUGUAAAAGCAAAGCCUUUGCUUACUUUUUAAGAUUUAAAUGCAUAUUCAUAAACUUAUCUCUGAAUGAAAAUAAAAAUGUGUGGGGGAAUAAUUGAAAUUAUUUUCUGCUGUCAGCUUAAUAAAGUCUCCCUGUGGU